GGGCUGUUAGUAUAGUGGUAAUACACCGCAUUCGCAUUGCGGAGAUGGGAGUUCGAUUCUCCCACAGUCCACUA
rnacentral:tRNA from 2 species